UUUAAAUAUAACCAUGAGUUUCCAUGCCCAACUUAAGUCAUCCGUUUUAUUUGAAAAUUUUUAUAAUUAGUAUUUUUGUUGCUAUGAGAUGAUAAAACGCGAAUAGUACUUUAUGUGUGACUUAUGUUUUUAAUUUUUUCAAAAAAAAUUCAAAUAAGACAGAAGAUAAAAGUUGGGCACAGAAACUUAUGGCUUCACUCAAA
rfam:Oryza nivara chromosome 3, whole genome shotgun sequence.